rnacentral:sRNA from 1 species
AUUUCGCAAUAGGGAUGGAAGCGGCAUCCUUUGACCGGAGUGAGGCGGCGGAGCGCAGCGGAGCCGACCGAGCGGAGGGAAAAGAUACAGCGGACAGCCCGACCUUGG